rnacentral:lncRNA from 1 species
AAGGGAGAGAGCAUUCACUACUGAGUUGGCAAGGUUUUACAGAAUGGUUUUUGUCAUCCCUACAGGUAAAACAUGAAGAGGUGGCCAAAGGUGUCCAUAAACAAAAAGUUGGUUAAGAAGGUUGGACUACAGCUGCCCUGAAAGCUCUUCCAUUAAAAGCAAAUCCAUCUCAUUGCCCAUAUGAGGCAGAAGAUCACGAAGAAGUAGCUGGAUCCUUACAUGACACCCCAGUGAGCCUUGGGAGGAAAGAUUUCACCAUGGUAGAAAAUAAGCCAACCAUCCUAUUCCAUCAACAAUAGUGCCUCUGUGUUUUAUAAACAUAAAAAGCAGCGUCUUAUAAAUAGGGAUUAUAAAAGAAACAUCUCU